UUCUUAGUUUUUCUCUGGUAUAUAGAUAACCAUGAAUUCAGGAACAACGACAUCCAUGUUGGUUUUAAUUUUCUCCUUGGUUAUUGCUACAGACAUUUCACUAGUCGCUGAAGCAAGGAAUGUAGCACGGCCAUGCAGCCCGAGUGACCCGUGCCCUCCUCCAUUGAUUUGUAACGGCCUUAACCUUUGCCAACCUCCAACAGGUGCAUAUAAAUAUGGGGGUAACGAUAAAGUCGUGGUCAAGCCACAACAAUUUGAAAAUUUUGUAACCGAGGGUGUUGCAGAUCGAAUUAAUAGCAAUAUUUAGAUGAUUUUAUAUGUCAAGCUGCAAAAAUUUGAAAAUUUUGUAACUGAGGGUGUUGCAGAUCGAAUUAAUUGCAAUAUUUAGAUGAUUA